GACAGAGGUCUCGAGCGUUAGGCGGAAUCACUGGGCUUAAAGCGUGUGUAGGCGGAUCGUUAAGUACCUUGUGAAAUCCCACGGCUUAACCGUGGAACUGCUUGGUAUACUGGCGGUCUUGAGCCAGCUAGGGGCUACCGGAACAAAUGGUGGAGCGGUGAAAUGCGUAGAUAUCAUUUGGAACGCCAAUGGUGAAAACAGGUAGCUGGGGCUGUGCUGACGCUGAGACACGAAAGCCAGGGGAGCAAACGGG
rnacentral:rRNA from 1 species